rnacentral:rRNA from 1 species
GACGAACGCUGGCGGCGUGCCUAAUACAUGCAAGUCGAACGCAGUGGGGACGGGUGAGUAACACGUGGGUAACCUCCCAUCAGAGGGGAUAACACUUGGAAACAGGUGCUAAACCGAUACUGAUGGAUGGACCCGCGGUGCAUUAGCUAGUUGGGGAGGUAACGGCUCACCAAGGCCACGAUGCAUAGCGGACCGGAGAGGGGGAGCGGCAACACGGGUACUGAGACACGGACCAGACUCCGACGGGAGGCAGCAGUAGGGAAUGUGCGGCAAUGGACGAAAGUCUGACCGAGCAACGCCGCGUGAGUGAAGAAGGUUUUCGGAUCGUAAAACACUGUUGUUAGAGAAGCGGUAUCUAACCAGAAAGCCACGGCUAACUACGUGCCAGCAGCCGCGGUAAUAC